rnacentral:lncRNA from 13 species
GCUCUGUGAGAUGUUCAAAGUUUCUGAUAUUUUUUUAUAACUCAACACCACACAUUUGUCCCUGACCUUUUUGGAGAGCUCCUUGGUCUUUAUGGUGCCGCUUGCUUAGUGGUGUUGCAAGUAAUUUUUUCAAAUUUUACUUCACAAAUUUGGACUAUUUGUGUAUGUUCAUUACAUGAAAUCCAAAUAAAAAUCCAUUUAAAUUACAAGUUGUAAUGCAACAAAAUAGGAAAAACACCAAAGGGGAUUAAUAUUUUUGCAAGGCUCUGUAAAAAACAAACAGAUAUUGAAUAUUCCUUUGAGCAUGGUGAAGUUAUUAAUUACACUUUGGUUGGUGUAUCAAUACACCUAGUCACCACAAAGUUUUGUCUUUUAGUGAGCAUUUCUGCAUUGCCAAGAUAAUCCAUCCACCUGGCAGGUGUGACAUAUCAAGAAGCUGGUUAAACAGCAUGAUCAUUACACAGGUGCACCUUGCUCUGGGGACAAUAAAAGGUCACUCUAAAAUGUGCAAUGUUGUCACACUACACAAUGCCCAAGAUGUCUCAAGUUUUGAAGGACUGUGCAAUUGGCAUGCUGACUGAAGGAAUGCCCAACAGAGCUGUUGCCAGAGAAUGGAAUGUUCAUUUCUAUACCAUACGCCACCUCCAACAUCCUUUUAGAGAAUUUGGAAGUACAUUCAACCGGCCUCACAACCGCAGACCACAUGUAACCACGCCAGCCCAGGACCUCCACAUCUGGUUUCUUUACCUGCGGGAUCAUCUGCAUACAGCCUCUCUCUGCGCUACAGGCAUGGCGUGGGAGCCUGCCGAGCCAACCGACGCAAGGAAACCUCUCGAGCCAGCUAAGGCGCGGAAGCCCGACGAUCCAGCUAAGGCGCGGAAGCCCGACGAUCCAGCUGAGGCGCGGAAGCCCGACGAUCCAGCUGAGGCGCGGAAGCCCGACGAUCCAGCUGAGGCGUGGAAGCCCGACGAUCCAGCUAAGGCACCCCUGGUUACAUCGGCAACGGCACACGACAUCACCAACAAAAACAAAAACUCCCAAUUGCUUCAAAUUGUGGUGUCAGCAUUCUGUAAGGACAGACGCUUGGAGAUGAGAAGCAAGUACAGGGACUGAACAUUUAAUUAUUAAGCAGACAUGAAACAAGACAGGUCAGCAUCUGCACAUGAUAAACAUAAUGACAUUAAUGCUGACACGGGGAACAAACUGAGGAACAAACAGAUAUAGAGGGGGAAACCAACAACGUGAAGGAGUCCAGGUGAGUCCAAUGGAGCGCUGAUGCGCGUAAAAGUGACAGGUGUGCGUAAUGAUGGGUGGCCUGGUGCCCUCAAGCACCAGAGAGGGGGAGUGGGAGCAGGCGUGUUGGAGAUAUCCGUGAAUGGAUAUCCGUGAAUUUUAAAAACAAGAAAAUGGUGCUGUCUGGUUUGCUUAAUAUAAAGAAUUUGAAAUGAUUUAUACUUUUGAUACUUAAGUGUAUUUUUGCAUUUAUAUUUACUUUUAAUAUUUAAGUAUAUUUAAAACCAAAUACUUUUAGACUUUUACUCAAGUAGUAUUUUACUGGGCAACUUUCACUUUUACUUGAGUAUUUUUCUGUCACACCCUGAUCUGUUUCACCUGUCUUUAUGCUUGUCUUCACCCCCCUCCAGGUGUCGCCCAUCUUCCCCUUCAUCCCCAGUGUAUUAUUACCUGUGUUCUCUGUUUGUCUGUUGCCAGUUCGUUUUAUUCGUCAAGCCUACCAGUGAUUUUCCCCUUGCUCUUCUCUGAGUUUAGUUUCUGUUUUCUAAUUUUGACGGUUUUGACCAUUCUGCCUGACCUGAGCCUACCUUGUCACACCACUCUGGAUUAUUGACCACUGGCUGCCCUGACCCCGAGACUGCCUGCCAUUCUCUACCUUUUGGACUCUGAUCUGGAUUACUGACCUCUGCCUGCCCUUGACCUGUCGUUUUGCCUACCCCCUGUUCUAGUAAUAAACUUUUGUUACUUCUAGAUUGUCUGCAUCUGGUUCUUCCUUUAUUAUUUUUCCGUAACCCUACUACCCCUCCCCUAACUGGAGUAAACUAAUGGACAACAACAAUUAGGCUUCUACUUUCAGCUUAUGCAUAUAAUAUACAUUUUACGUUAGUUAUCUUUUGUUUGUUCUUAGUCCCAUCCUUCAACUACCCUCAAU